rnacentral:rRNA from 1 species
UACGUAGGGGGCAAGCGUUGUCCGGAUUUAUUGGGUUUAAAGGGUGCGUAGGUGGCCCUGUAAGUCAGUGGUGAAAUAUCUCAGCUUAACUGAGAGGGUGCCAUUGAUACUGCAGGGCUUGAGUACAGAUGAGGUAGGCGGAAUUGACGGUGUAGCGGUGAAAUGCAUAGAUAUCGUCAAGAACACCGAUAGCGAAGGCAGCUUACCAAGCUGUAACUGACACUGAGGCACGAAAGUGUGGGGAUCAAACAGG